GGGGGCGACCGGUUUCGACGGACCAGUUGAAGCGUCGGUUGCGCGCCGAGGACCCCGGUUGGCCUCGUAAAUCAUCCGGGAAAAACAACAAGCCAACACUGAGCUGGCUCUCGCGGCCUAAGUUGCCGUGACGUUUCACCGCUCACGCCUGCUCGGCGGAGGAAACGACGACAGCAGGCUGGCUCCAAAGCCGGGUAGCCGGGCAGCGGGGCGAGACUAUUGCGUGGCUGCUGGCGCUGACGGUGGCCUGCCCGCGGGCAGCCGGCAGGGCGAGACUUAAUCGCGGGAUACGCGCGUAGAAGCUGGCGUGACUCUGGCUCGGACGGGGGUUCAAUUCCCCCCGCCUCCACCA
rnacentral:tmRNA from 1 species